rnacentral:rRNA from 1 species
GAUGAACGCUGGCGGCGUGCCUAAUACAUGCAAGUCGAGCGAACAGACGAGGAGCUUGCUCCUCUGACGUUAGCGGCGGACGGGUGAGUAGCACGUGGAUAACCUACCUAUAAGACUGGGAUAACUUCGGGAAACCGGAGCUAAUACCGGAUAAUAUAUUGAACCGCAUGGUUCAAUAGUGAAAGACGGUUUUGCUGUCACUUAUAGAUGGAUCCGCGCCGCAUUAGCUAGUUGGUAAGGUAACGGCUUACCAAGGCGACGAUGCGUAGCCGACCUGAGAGGGUGAUCGGCCACACUGGAACUGAGACACGGUCCAGACUCCUACGGGAGGCAGCAGUAGGGAAUCUUCCGCAAUGGGCGAAAGCCUGACGGAGCAACGCCGCGUGAGUGAUGAAGGUCUUCGGAUCGUAAAACUCUGUUAUUAGGGAAGAACAAAUGUGUAAGUAACUAUGCACGUCUUGACGGUACCUAAGCAGAAAGCCACGGCUAACUACGU